CUCUACAAACACCAAACAUGCUUGUUUACAGCUUGCUAGAUUUAGAGUUGUGAAUUUUCUUUAAGAAAAAAAAAAAAAGUAUGUUCUGUUUUCAAUUUCUUAUUCCAUUUCAAAUGUCAUCCUUUUUCUCUUCUUCUUCCAGGACCUCCCAGGGAUUUUGUUCACAGAAUGGAAUGAGCUGCAAAAGGGAUAAAGAUCAUUCACGGGAACCUUGAAAGAACUGCUUGAGCUCCAUGAAAUGAAGAUUAAAAAUAAAACAGGGAGGUGAGGCACAGGCUCCAGCACGAACACCUUAUAAACACUUGGCCUUAGAAGUGCGAGUGCUUCCUAGCGAGCCUGAGAUGUGCAGAAGUGCAGCCUGGGAGCGAGUCAGGGAUGCUGCUUCCAUUGCUUCCUCCCCAUGAAGGGAACAGCAGAGGUGGGCUCUGCCAUGAGUUACUUCAAAGUUGGGUAAUGCAACAGAAGGAUGUUGCUAGAAAUACGCAUGCCUUACAGUUUCAGUGUAGGUGUAAAAUGAAGGGUAAUGCUGAUGGCUGCCGUGUGUGAAUAAGACUUCAGCAGUGGCUGGGUUUUGUGUUGGAUUUUGCCUGGCAUUGCUGGUAUUUUGAGGUGUGCUGGUUGCAUCUGGCUUGCUUGUGGAUCUGAGCUGUUCUAGGCAUCACUGAUAAGGAGUCAAGUCUCUCCUUUCUGCAUCCCCAUCUUUGCAAAAGACAGUUCAGCUAAGGGCUGACACAGAGCUUCUGAGAGCUUGGGGAAAGUGAUUGGAAAAUGCUAUUGUUUAAAUCCUGAAUUGCUCUGUUAGGAAAAGUGCCCCUGGCAUUGCACAUCAACCCAUGGUGUCACAGAGUGUGUUAAUGUUCUGUGUCACCCAAACCGUGAGUAAUAGGAAUCAAAUGCAAUGUCAGCCUGUCUGAGCUCACGGGCAGCCUCAGACCACAGGUCACAACAAAAUGGUCCUGUGCUUUUGGCAUGGUCAGGGAGGUGUGAUGGAGCCUGGGGGUCUGCCCAAACUGGGCAGGUGGGGCACCCUUCCAGAUGGGCUUUGCUAGGACAUUGGCCUGCUUCUGGCGGGGUUGCAUGCCCUGCUACCCACAGGGGCUUCUCUAUUGGCUUUAGCCAAGGUGGAGAGAGGGAUUGCUCUGUCUUUGUCUCAGAAAAAAAGGGAAACUGUUUCCUGGGAAGUAACAGCUGAAUGCCAUCAACUGUGCAACACCUGGACAGACUUCAGGAGGAGGUGUGAGUGAGUACACCCUGUUUAGUGCCAGAUCUCAGCGGUAGGACUGAGGUUAAAGGAUGGUCUGUUCGGUCUUCCACCGAUAUCUUCCUCUGCUCUUCUGGUAAAAUAUGGAACUGGAAGAUUGUGAAAUCUCUGCUGUGGUUGCUGAGGCGCUUUUCUGUCAUGUAGAGCUUGUUUUUGCCCGCACACUUUGGAAUAAUCCUAAGUUUCUUCUCUAAUUGUAUUUAUUGCACACUUCCUAUUUUGAUGUGCUGUCCCAUGCUGCAAAUGUGACUGCAGCCGUGCUCCAAACCAGUGGCCAAUUCCUGGAGCUGCUGAUGGGUGUGGAGUGGAAUCCUCUGUCAGUCCUUUGCCAGGCUCCUCCAGCCCCUGGUGGCAUCAUAGCAAGUCGUACAGAAGUUAAUAGCACAAGCAUCUUCUGUGUUUUGGUAGCAGUGAGCCUGUUAAUAGUGGUGGGUCAACAGUUUUUAGGCUUUUAGGAUUAGCUCCAGGCUUAGAAGAGGAUCACAAGUGUCUGAGCUGCAGUCCACAGAUGUAGACAGAGAGGCUACCAUAUGAUACAUGAUCUAAUUUCUCAAGGAUUUUUUAUGGUAUUUUCUUGGGUAUGAAGGUUACAGACUUAAUCCUCAAUCCAUACCCAACUUAUGCAAUCCCUUGUUUAGGCCAAAAUGAAGACUUUUGCUUUAUCAGGUAAAUGAAUGCCUUUGGGUGACAUGACCCAGCCCCCUAAACUUCAUGUUAUUUUAUGGAUUGCCUCCUUGAUGCAUGAUGAGAUGUUGGUGGCACCUCCUGUCCCAGAAGAGCUGCUGAGAUUUGGGGACCAGAGGAGCUCCAGAUGGGAGCAGGAGGCUGCAGUUCAGGAAAUCCUGAAGUCCUGGUAAUUGCUGUGGAACAGAUCCUGGCUUGGACAGAGUGUAGAUUCUUCUGUGGUGUAAAUCUCUUCUGAUUUAUUUGACACUUUGGUUUCAAAACUCCCCUUUUUGGUGUCAGAUGCUUGCUAAAGGCUUUUGCUUCUACAGAUGUGACUCAUUGCAUGCAGAAAGAAAACUGCACUGUGCUCCCUCCUUUCUCAAGGUGGCUCUCUGCCUUGCUGUCUUGCACAGCUCCUUCCAGAAGACCAGGUGAGCAGGGGGGUAGGAAACAUGCUGGUUUGUGAGAGGCAGCUGUAAUGCUGUGGUGGGUGUUGGUCCAUCCUGAGCUCUGGCUUCUGCUACAGCUGUUCCUAAAAGCUGUUCUGCAGUGAUCCCAUUUUUGAGGAUCAAAGGAAGCAAUGGUCUUCUAAGUCUUUUAUUCCCUACAGAUUUUGGGAUAUGACUGUACAGCUCCAAAUAAUGCAGAGCUCCCUGGAGAUGGCACUCUCAGCUGAUGUUCCAGCGUGGGCUCCUGGCCCUGUAGCAAGCACAGAGGAGAUGUCUGAAAUAUCUGUCAUACUAAAGGCUGUUUCCCUCUUUUCCUCUGAAUAAAGCCAGCCCCAGCAGCAGGAUAGUCCUUCAGGCACCCCCAGAAGGGGCCGUGCACCCAUCCCACACUGAGGCUCUCCCUGAAGGAGGACAACCCUGCAGCAGCCAGUGAUGCCAUAGCACCCCAUGGAGGCUGUCAUGCUGGGUGAUGUGCUGGAUACCAAUAGCGUAAUCAAUGCGUAAGCUGCUAAUUAAAAUUAGUAUGUUGCAGUGAAAAGGCACUUGUGCAGCAGACCUUGAAAUGCACUGUUUGCAUAGUUGGUGGGAGACAGCUAAUGCUUCUGCAGCAACUCGGUGCUUCGUGUAUGAAAUCCUAUGGGCCUCCCUGUUGCAGGCACUGGAGGUCCUUGUGCAGCCCUGGAGGAAUUACAGGUCCUAUCUCGUCCCAGGAUUUCCAGCCAUCACAGCAGAGCUGGGAGUAAGGCCUGGAUCUCAUGGUGGUGCUCAUGCUACAGAAGAUGCUGUGCAGGGAUGAUGAUGGCAACAGGAGCCUGAGAUGUGAAAGCUGCUGAAGCUCCAUGUGAGUUUUGGGGUAGGGUUGGCCUGAGGUCAACCAAGCGCCCAAUGUUCAGCUGUUUGAGUUUUUCCUCAUAAAGACUGGCAGAGAAAUAGCUCACAUGAGGGACCCUGGACCCUGUGUUCUUCAUCUGCAUCCACAGAGCAAUGCAUCCACCUCUCUAAUGGGAAACAAAUUUGGGAGUAGGGGAAAAAAGCCAACACAGAGGCAAGCUGAUGUUUGGGAGGAGAUGGCUUUGUUUUCAUUUGCCAAAGGAGCAAUCUUCCAGCUGCUGUGCACUUAAUGGCUUCCCAGGGCCAUUUGUUAACCUGCCAAGUCCAACCCAGAGCAACGAUUCCAGCCGUAUGCCAGGAUGUCUCUUUUUACCCCAAUAAACUUCCUGUUCCUUGCAGCCCAGCUGAUGGCUCUGCCCUACGGUGCAGAUGAGGGGAUCUCAAAACAAUGAAUCCCUGUCAAAAGAUUUGUGAGCAGCUGGCCAAACAAUUCCAGCCCCAGAAAGACACAGGCGAGAACAUCAUUCCUGAAUGCGCUGCAUUAUUGAUUAAGCACUUGUGAUCCAUAAAGUACAGUAACAACGUGGGGCUGGCUGCAAAUGAAUUCUACUGAAAAGAUCUUUUUACUGCCUCUGAUCCUCAAGGACAAGGGUAAAAUAAGUUUAGUAUGGAGCAGGAAUUCAUUUGUAUAAUAAUGGUUUUUGACGACUUGCAAAGGUUAUUUUAUGAUUAGCCAUCUAAUUAUAAAAUGGCCAACAAUUUCAUCUUAUCCAAAUCUACAUCAGCUAAAUUAUGAAAUGCCCUUGUUUUAUGCAAAUUCUGAAAAUAUUGCUUCUCUAACCUUUCAACCCCGCUGUCUGUCAAUAAGGCUCACGUGGAGCAUAAAUCUUAGGGUAGCACCGGAGCACAAUUCAGCUGCAAGUAAAUGGCAGUGAAUUAAUUGUGCAGGAUCCCUGGAAGGCAGGAGGCUGUCUGGUUCUGGAGUAGGCUUCCUUAGUCAGCCCAGAGACUGGGUGUGAGGUGGCCUGUAUGACAGCUGGUCCCUAUAUGACAGGACUGGCUGGGGCUGAGCAAGCUCCUGAGGAGCAUUGGGUGAGAACAGGGGGUGCACAGCAGGAGCUAAGAGCUGAUGUGGAUACCCCAGAGGGAUCCAGAAGGGACACACGGAGCCAGGGGUGGCUGUGGGACAGCUGCUGUGGACUCAGGCUGAGGCAGGGAACAGGUCCUCUGCUUUGGAGGGAGGGAGGAGUGGCAGAGAGGAAAGGCUGGAAAAGGGGGAGGAAAGGAGGAUUAUAAAGAUUAGCUCCAAUUAGAUACAUGUACAACCAUCAGAUCCUGUUAAACACCCCUGGUUUAAAUUCAAACCCUAUUAUAUGGCUGCGGCUUCCAGACAAAGCCCUAUUAAAUGGAGCUGCUUUGAAAUCCAGACACAGCCACUACAAAGACUAUUAAACGCCUGCAGGCUGAAGACCAGGCCCUGCUAUGCUCCCUUCACCUGAUGGGACAGGGCCAGGCAGCAAUGGGUGCCUGUGGGCAUGGGGAUACCGGUUGGCUCCGAUCCCUCCAGAAUGACCUGAAGUAGGCAGGGAGCUGAGAUGCAGUGACCCAUCCCUGGGGGGGUCUUCUGAAGGAUGGGAGCUGGGGUGGGCUCUGGGCAGGGCUUUGGGGGACUUCCAGUGAUGCUGUCUGCAGGACAGGUUCAGCACCAACCUUCCCUUCCUGCUGGCUGUUAUACCCAUCAGGCUCCAUCCUUUCCCUGCGCUUGCUGUGGUGUUGCACAGCAGUGUGAGGAGCAACGAGGGCUGCUUCCAACCAGCCCUGGGUCCACUAAGAGCCCCUAAGAUGCUCUUGUGAGCACUGCUGGCAUCACCACCACUUGUUUCCCAGGGAUUUAUUUGAUGUGGAGGCCUCGGUAGCAUCAGAUAACUUUUAAUUAGCACUGGGUGCUUUCUUCUUUAACAGAGCAAAGUGAUUUUGCCGUUUGAAUUUUUGCAUGUGAAAUAUUAACUUGAUAUAUAUUUAAUUUUUUUGUAUUGAAUACUAUACAGUGGUGUCUUAUUAAUAUUAAAACUUUAACACAAUGUAAAUGUCAGCGCGAGUCAUAAUGAUAAAACCUAAAUGAAAUGUAUUUGCUUUGCUGCUUCACUUACGAUAGCAAAAGAUUUCCCAGUCAAAACAGACUUUUUUUUUCCCUUUUCAGUGGAAGCACAGCUUCUUUGUUUCACCAAAAACCAUUCCAUCAGAGGGUUUCUCCCCACUCCCAAGUGCCACGAUGCACACCUGGGGCAUCACUGUGCUAGGCUGGGACCUGCAGGGCUCGCUGUUGUCUUCCAGUUCCUGCUCCUGCUCUACUCUUCCCUGUUCCCUGUGGGAAUGCUGAGGUGAAGGAUGGAGCACGGGGUGCUGGCGUGGCACUGCCUUCCCUAUCAGAGCUGGAGAUGAAGCCGGGACGUGCGGCACAUGGGGCAUACAGCAGGUCUCAGUGCGGUGUGUAUGGGUGUGAGGCUUCCUUUCCCUUUCAUCUUUUUAUCUCUGUCCUUCUCUGAAGGAGCAGCAGAUGAAAGAGCCCACUGCUUGUGUCAAAUUCCAAGUUAAAGGGAAUCUUUUUGGCUUUUUGGCUUGCUUUGAAAGGAAAUGGUGGCAAAAGUAGCAAGUGAGGUACAAAAUAGACCCUGGCUAGCUUAGCUGCAUUUACAGUGUCAGCAAUUUGCUCUCCAAAGUAAUUAAGAUGCAGGUGCUUGGAGAGUAUGCAUGAAGCUGCAUCAGUGCAGUGCACCUUCCUUGGGCUUCUGCAUCAUUGCAAGCUGCCCCAAAUUCACUUGCCCACUCCAAGGAAGCCAUAGGCUUUUUGGGAUGGCAGGGCUAGAGGCUGCUGGAGGAUGCAGCUGAUGCUGCUGGGUUUGCCUCUGGGCAGCCCUGCUGUUUUAAAUUCCCCCUCCUUGCUGCAUGCAAUAGAUCAGAUGCAAGGGCUUCCUGUAGCAGGAGCAAGGUGGGUUUGGCCCAGGCUGUGAGGUAGAGGAGCAGGGCGAUGUGCAGAUGGGCUGCGGGCAGGGGCUGCACUGCAUCCCUGAGCGAGGUGCUGAGGGGUUUGGCUGGGCUCCCCCACCUACUAGGAAACUGUUUCUCUUGUAUCAGCCUACUAGGGACCAGUAUUUGAUAAUGGAGCAGAUCACAGAGCAUGAUAGCAAAUAUCUUAAAUGGAGAUGUGGAAACUUCCUGUUUUACUGUGUAUGAGCUGUAAAUCUCAGGCUUGUGUCUAGAUGUGUGAAGGUUAAUAAAACCAAAUAAAAAAUGAAUUCCAGCAGUCAGAGCUGGCAGCUGAUGGCGUGGGCAUCACUGCACGUCCCCAAGGCUGGCCACAUAUGGAAGUGAUAUGAUGCUAGGGAAGUAUUUAGCAAUUUCUUCCUUUUUUGCACUCCUUUUCCAAGCCCGUAACUGUCUCAUCUCCACAGGGGCAACAAGUCAGUCCUGUGCUGUCAGCUGGUGUCACCAUGAGGAUGUGAUGGGAGAAGGGUUGGACCUGCAGGACCCUGUGCUGCGUGCACAGCCAUGAAGGUUGUCCUUACCACCGCUUUCCUUUGUGACAAAGCAUACCAUGCUGAAAUGAAAGUGAGAUCUUCAUCAAAGAGCACAGUGUGUCUUUGGGUGUGAUUUCUUUGUGGGAACAAACGCCUACUGAUUCAUGCAGACACAGUCCUGGGUGAGGAGGACAGCUUCCAUUGCAGCUAUGCAGCACCCAGCUCAACAGGAAUGGAGAAUAACGUCAACAAAAGGAACAGAACUGGACCUUGCCUGAUGCAGACACACUGGGACUUGUCAGAGUUAUCAAAGCUCCCAGAAACGUUGCUCUUAGUACUAGCAGUGUGUGUGCCACUCUUCCUGCAGCAAAGGGAAGCUCAAAGGAAGGCAGCAGGUUUGUCCCAGUGCAACACUGUGCAGCUCCGGUCCCGCUGUUCCCUGUGGAGGAUGCAUGCUGCUCUCUCUCCUUUGCUGCCCAGACUUCUUCUCCAAAUGUGCAGGGCAAGUGAGUAUCUCCAGCACUAGAUUAGAAGGCUGUUGCAGUGAGACAAUCCUUCUGCAACUAUUCUGCAACUAAAUUGUGUUUCCUGUGGAUGUGUUGCAGCACUGUGUUUUUAUGGCACGUGACCGUGAGCAGUCCGACUCUGUGCAGGAGUUCCCUGAAACCUCUCCAUCUAAGGGCAGGGGGUUUCUAUUUCCUUUGGCAGGGGAUUUGUUGAUGUUCCAUGAUGCUCACAGAGCUGGGAUGGAACUUGUAGGUGAGUGAUGUUGGAUUUCCCCAUCUCUUGCCUUCUUUGGAAGCUGUGUGCCACCAGCAGGCCCUGAGAUGGGACAUGCACCAACCAGCACCACAAGGUCCUGGAGCUGGGGGGCAACAUGGCCCCACCAUCCCAACCCCUGGUUAUUGCCCCUUCUUAAGACACAGAGUGGGACUUUGCCGUGAGACUUUGGGUGGUGUGGGGAGGGAUCAGAGUCUCGGGUUCUGAAUGGCCAACUCAUCCCUGCCAAGGAGGUGCUGUUAUAUGGUGGCUUCCUGCCAGGCACAGCCACCCCCCUCCAAGACAAUCACCAGCUUAGAUGCCACAAUGAGGAUACACUGCUAUUUUUAAUGUUUUGGGCUCUUAUUUUAUUUUUCCCUUGUUGCUGGAGCCCAUUGCCCACAGUGGCAUUUCUCCCCAGCCCAUUCCUGCUGCUUCUCCCAUCCCAUGAUUGCAGCCAUAAUUCUUCAUGGACAGAAGCUGACUUUAGCACAAGUCUCCUUUGAUCACAGGGAGCCUUAUCUGGUCCCUGAGACAAACGCAUCCCAGGGAGAUGGCAGAAAUUAGGUCAGUUCUGCACCACAGCUUCCCCUUCUGCUGUGCAGGGCUGCCGUCUUGCACCCACCAGCCUCCCCUCUGUGGCAGCUGGAGGCUGGCGUGGCUCUCUCCUUUAUCUCAGGGUUAUCAGCCAGCUGUGAAGCCCAGGGGCUGCCUCAAACCCCUCCUGCUCUGCUCACCACCCCAGGUUUGGUUACCCCAGUUGGUCCCCAUGCCACUCAUGCCACCCCUAAACAAAGGGAAGCAGGGCUUGGCUCAGCAGGCAGGAGCCCCCAGCAGCACGCAGUGCAGCUCCAACCUUUUGUGCAGCUCAUUAACAGCAAAUACUAAAGAGAAGGAGGGCAGAGGCAUUAUGGAGCAAUUUAUAUGUAAAUGUCUGAAGUAUCAAAUAAAAGCUAGCCCACUGGCAUUCAUUAGGAAAAAAAAAAAAGAAAAAACAUUAUUGAAUUUUCUUGAAUUUGUGUUUUGUUUUUCCAUCCUGACAAGACAAAGCACACUGACACACCACCUGUUUGCCUCCUUGAUCCUCCAGCUGCAUCCUUGCUGCACCCAGACACGGUGUAGGGCCAGGAUUUCCCUGUCCUGGAUGCAGGGAGGAGUGAGAUGGGGGGGCUCUGGAGAUUACAUGGGACCUCAUGUCCCCUUGGAAAGAUGAUCUGAAGCCUUCAUUUCAGAGGAGUUUCCAACCUGGAAUGCCUCUGCUGUGAGCUGUCAGCUUCCAGCUGAGGUCCACUUCUCCAGCAAGAAUAGAACAAGAUAAAAUGGUAAUUCAGGCCAUUUUGACGAUGGCUCCGAGAGGUACAGCUGGUGGCACUGCUGCUAGAGCCAGACUUGGUGUGUUUGGCAAAGAGCUGAUUUUCUCUUCCCAGUGCUGUAACACUUCUUGGUGUGCCAAGACCCAGCAGUGGGCUUAGGGUCUCAGGCUGCAGCUGAAGGCCAGGGGAAUGCUUGUGCUGUCAGCCUGGAGGCUGUAGGGUUAGAGGCAGAAAAGCUCAGCAAAGACUAUUUUUGGACUUACGUAUAUACAGGCUGAGCUUGAGCUGCACCAACCACAGUCAUUGCUGUGGGCAGAGCAGGAGGACCGUGGGUUCAAGGAGGAUUUGGAUCCAGAGGGGGAUGUCUGUAGAGCUGUGCUAACGUACUUGCAGCUCUUCACAAUGCUCCUGCAGCACAGUGCCUGGCUUUGGUGGGGAAACUGCAUCAUAACCCCAUGCUUGGCAUUCUGGGUAACCUUAUGUAAAUUAAUGUAAAUGCGAAGAGAGCUGCCUCCCUGAAGCAGCAAGGGGAUUGGUUCCUUUGUCAGGCGCUAGCUCAAACAGCAUAUUUCUAUUGUGCUUCUCCACAUAGGGUGUCUGGAGGUUUCUGAGGCAGACUUUCAGCAGCUGUGUGAGGGAAAGCCAUUCAAAUGGGAGAGGAGGAAAAAUGGAAAACUACUGACGUUGUAACAUCACUACCAAAUAUGUAGGAACUGGAAAGAUGUGUUCAUUAUCUCCUGAGCCGUUAUCGCCAUAGCAAACAUGUGGGCUCACUCUGGGAUGCUCAUGCCUGUGGCCAGGCACUGCACACCCCAUGUAAGUACGAUGAGCAAACUCAUCCUUACUCAUCCUGGGGGACAAAAAUGAUGAUGCAUCACCACGUAGUGCAAGACACUGAUAUAUAACACAACACAGCUCUAAGGUGGUGAAUUCAUAUCUUAAUGUGAGACUCCACUUUUAUUGUGUCCGUAAUAUAUCUAAAUCGAUGCAAGAUAAACAUGAUCAUAACUUUUAAUCUGAAGGAGAUAGAAAGAAUGCCUGUUGACAGAGCUCCUGCUGUGGUUCCUCACUGCCUGCCCAGCACGGCCUCAUCCCUGCCUGGCAUGUGCUUUCUAAUCCUAUUGCUUCCACUUGGCUUAAUUCAAGCUAAGCCCACCUCAGCUGCGUGCUAUGUUUGUGUAAGCUGAAUGACUGCUUGUGUCCUACUCUGUCUGUGCCCAACAUCAUCUGGUCUAUUAUAUCAAAUUAAAACCUAAGGCUGCAGACGUGGAGAGGAUGAAAUGCUGGGCAUCCAGCUGAGAUUUCCUCCUGCACCAAUUGGCCCUGGAGGACUGGGGUGACCCCAAAUCCUCCUCCUCUCCUGCAUCCCUUCCAUCAUCCCCUCCACCAUCCACCCCCUCACCCCUCCAUCAUCUCUUCACCCAUCAUCCCCUCUGUUGUUCCCACCAGCGAGGGAUGGCAGAACUCCAGCAGGUCCUCACCUGGCCCAGAAGGGGAUGAGGUGAAGAGGAGACUCUGGCCAUGCUUUUCCCAACUGAUUUCCAGCCCACAGUGGGAGACGUGAGGCAUUUCUCAUCCUCAAUGUGGUACAUCCAAGGGCAGAGCAAUUAAUCAGUCCCCAGCUGCUAUCUACCUGGGAAUUAGUGUAUUUCCUGAGGAUUAGCCUAAUUGUCUAAUUAAAUUGUAUUGCCUCUC